rnacentral:rRNA from 1 species
GAUGAACGCUGGCGGCGUGCCUAAUACAUGCAAGUCGAGCGGCAGCACGGUCUUCGGACUGGUGGCGAGCGGUGGACGGCUGAGUAACGCGUAGGAACGUACCCCAAAGUGAGGGAUAACUGCUCGAAAGAGUAGCUAAUACCGCAUGUGAUCUAAGGAUUAAAGCUUCGGCGCUUUGGGAACGGCCUGCGUCCGAUUAGCUAGUUGGUGAGGUAAAAGCUCACCAAGGCGACGAUCGGUAGCUGGUCUGAGAGGAUGAUCAGCCAGACUGGGACUGAUACACGGCCCAGACUCCUACGGGAGGCAGCAGUAGGGAAUUUUCCACAAUGGGCGAAAGCCUGAUGGAGCAACGCCGCGUGCAGGAUGAAUGCCUUAGGGUUGUAAACUGCUUUUAUAUGUGACGAAUAUGACGGUAGCAUAUGAAUAAGGAUCGGCUAACUCCGUGCCAGCAGCCGCGGUAA